GUCUGUGAGGGUGGUCCGGCCAGACAGCUGUCACCCCAUUGGUUGCCAGGCUUGGCUUGGCAGGUCUGGCCAUCCAGGUCUGUGUGUCCUUCCUCCCUCGCCAUGCCACGCGCCUUCCCCCUGAAGCUGCAUGCGUGGUCACAGAGAACCCCCACGCUGGUAGAAGGACGCUCCCUCGGUCGAAGUUGACGAGCAGCUGCACUUCCCUGCUGGAGCCGCCAAGCACGCUCUCAAAAAUGGCAUCAAUCUCUUUGAUAGAACUUUGAAAAUAAUUUGACAUUUCGAGUACUUUCCAAACAGAUUUCUU
rnacentral:snRNA from 1 species